AAGUCGCACGAGGUUGUAGUUUACUGCAAUCUAGUGGCGGAAGGGUUAGUAAUACAUGGAUAACCCACCCUAAACUUCAGGAUAACGAUUGGAAACGAUCGCUAAUACUGGAUGUGGUGGUGUAAGUCAUCUUACACUUAUCAAAGCGGAGGACCUUGAAAAAGGCUUCGCGGUUGUUGAGGUGUCCAUGGGAUAUCAGCUUGUUGGUGCGGUAAAGGCGCACCAAGGCUAAGACGUCUAGGCGGAUUGAGAGAUUGACCGCCAACACUGGGACUGAGACACUGCCCAGACUCCUACGGGAGGCUGCAGUCGAGAAUCUUUCGCAAUGGGCGAAAGCCUGACGAAGCGACGCCGCGUGAGCGAAGAAGGCUCUCGGGUCGUAAAGCUCUUUCGCUAGGGAACAAGAGAUAUAGGUUAAUAACCUAUUGAUUUGAGGGUACCUGGUAAAGAAGCACCGGCUAACUCCGUGCCAGCAGCUGCGGUAAUACGGAGGGUGCAAGCAUUGAUCGGAUUUAUUGGGCGUAAAGGGCGCGUAGGUGGCAAUGAUAGUCAGGUGUGAAAUUCCGGGACUCAAUCCCGGAGCUGCACUUGAAACUUCAUAGCUUGAGGACAGGCGGAGAAAGCGGAAUUCCACGUGUAGCGGUGAAAUGCGUAGAUAUGUGGAAGAACACCGGUGGCGAAGGCGGCUUUCUAGCUUGUUCCUGACACUGAGGCGCGAAAGCGUGGGGAGCGAACAGGAUUAGAUACCCUGGUAGUCCACGCCGUAAACGAUGCAUACUAGAUGUAGCUGGGCUCAACCCUGGCUUUGUCGUAGCUAACGCGUUAAGUAUGCCGCCUGAGUAGUACGCUCGCAAGAGUAAAACUCAAAAGAAUUGACGGGGGCCCGCACAAGCAGUGGAUCAUGUGGUUUAAUUCGAUGCAACGCGAAGAACCUUACCCAGGCUUGACAUGCAGAGGACAGUACCAGAGAUGGUACGUUCCGCAAGGACCUCUGUGCAGGUGCUGCAUGGCUGUCGUCAGCUCGUGCCGUGAGGUGUUGGGUUAAGUCCCGCAACGAGCGCAACCCUUAUCGUUAGUUGCCAACAGUUUGGCUGGGAACUCUAACGAGACUGCCUAGGUUAACUAGGAGGAAGGUGAGGAUGACGUCAAGUCCGCAUGGCCCUUAUGUCUGGGGCUACACACGUGCUACAAUGGUCGGUACAAAAGGCAGCGAAGCCGCAAGGUGGAGCAAAUCCCAAAAGCCGAUCGCAGUUCGGAUUGAGGUCUGCAAUUCGACCUCAUGAAGUUGGAAUUGCUAGUAAUGGCGUGUCAGCAAUAACGCCGUGAUACGUUCCCGGGCCUUGUACACACCGCCCGUCACAUCAUGGGAGUUGGUCUUACCACGAAGUCGCUGACUCAACCG
rnacentral:rRNA from 1 species